rnacentral:RNase_P_RNA from 1 species
UAGGUCGAUCAGGCAGUCGCGCUAGAUUAGUCAAUUAACUAGUGAGGAAAGUCCGGACUCCAUAGGGUAAAGUGCCAGGUAACACCUGGGAGAUGCAAGUCUACGGAAAGUGCCACAGAAAAUAACCGCCAGUAUAUUUAUAUACAGGUAAGGGUGAAAAGGUGCGGUAAGAGCGCACCGCAUAAAUGGCAACAUAUUAUGGCAGGGUAAACCCCACUUGGAGCAAAACCAAAUAGAGUUCUUAUAGUGCGACCCGUACUAGAACUGGGUAGGUUGCUUGAGAUGGUCGGUGACGACUAUCCUAGAUGAAUGAUUGCCCACGACAGAACCCGGCUUAUCGAUCGACCUUUUUA